ensembl:lncRNA
AUGCAAAAUAUUUUUCAUUGGCUGUCACAGGAUGUGAAAAUAGAUGCUGAAAGUUCUAAUAUACAAAUGACUGCUCCCUCUUCCAGCUGGCAAACUCAAAGCAGCUUUUUGUCCAGCCCACUGCUUUCAGAUUCAGGUUCUUUUAUGAAAAAAAUGGUUCCUUUUGAUAGAAGUGCCACCAAGGAAGAUCACGUUAAUGCUGCUGUCAGUGAAAUGAAGUUGCAAGCAGAAAGAGGGAAACAGUAGAAUGCUUUACAAAAACACAUCAGCUUUCCCUGUGGUGAAUUCAAUUCCAUUCUUUUGUUUUAGAAUAGUAGUAAUUCUAUCUGCUUGUAGGAGUGACAAACCUUUAGUUAUUCAGCUAUUGCCAAAAACUUAACUGAAAGCAUCAAGAAUGAGACUAACAAACUCUGGUGAUAUUGUACAUAACUUGUAUGCCAAAGGUUUUCUAGGAUUAUGCUCUAUUCUCUUGCAUUUGUUUCUGUGGUCCUCCUAGUCUAAAUUCGUUUUAUACCUGAAAUAUUACUAGGUGAAAGAACCGUGACAUUAAUCUUUUCUAUACGCUUAUUUGCACCUGCACAGAAAUUCUAUGGACAUGUUCUUUAAUAACAUUUAAUAAGGUUGUUAAUGAUCAAAGCAUUCAAGAAAUACUUUGGUCCUAAUAUUUAUUGUGAGAGCUAUUGUACUGUUUUAUACAGACACAUAUUUAUGAUUUUAGAUUUUUCAGUUUAAAACCAUCAUUUAACAGGUCAUUAGAAAGAAGUGAUAAUUAUUAAACAAAUCCACAUUUCUUCAAAAUUGGCAGGAAUUCAUAUAAUGGUUUCAGCAUCAGCAUAUCUUUAUUAUUAACUAUUUGAAGUUAUUAUUCUUGCCAGAAUAUACAGUAUCUUAUCAAGUAGCAUGGCAAAUUUUACCUUAUGUGACCUCCAGUAAGGCACUUAACUAGUUUCUUCAUCAGGACCUAUUGACCCCAUCUAUAUUAAGCACUUUGAAGGGCAGUGCUUUCUGGUUGUAAAAAUUUUAAUAGCAGGGUGUGAUGAUCAUUUAUUUAUUCUAUUUUAUUCUUUUUUUAAAAAAGUUUAGACAUGUCAUAUUAAUUUUAAAAUGUUAUGGAAAUACAACAGUGCACUGUUGUAUGAGGCCUGAUGGCUCUGUUCCAAACAAAUUUGAUACGUAUCGAUAUCACUGUGGUCUCAAACAGCACAUCACAGCAGAAUCUUCUUCUACUGCACAUGAAAUGUCAGUGUUUCUGAGGGUCCUGGUUUAAUACUCCUACCUUUAGUGCUUCUGGUCGAGUGACCACUGAUGUGCUUUAAAAAUUUGGCCAAACCUGUCAGAGUACAGGCAACACAAACACCAGUGGAACAAUUCUGUUUUGUCAGCUUCUUUAAUAUUAGGGAGCCUACACCUUCUGAAACACUGUGUCUUUUUUUAUAUUAUUAUUAUUAUUCUUAAAGCACUGUAGGUCUGUUCGUUGUAAUUCCCGGGUCAUUAUGUGCCACCUAAAAAUGGGACUUUUUUUCCUACUGAAGAAGUAUUCUGCAAUCCCUUAAAUUCAGUAGACAGUGGACUUAGUUGAUAGAAUUCUCUUGUAUCCAGCCUGUUUCAAACACAACUUUUUGCUAAGAACUUCAAAAUCAGAAAAGGAAAUGGAAAAAACUUGACUGGAUUUCGUUUGCAUUUUCUAUGCACUUAAAUUACUUGAUUGUAUAAAAACAGUUAUUCACAGUUUUUCAGCUAGUCACAAUUUUUCUAUUUUGGUUUUAAAUGUUUUCUUUACCUUCUGUAUGUGUAUAAUGCUAUGCAUUGUAGUGCUGGCACUGGCUUUUUGCGAACUGCUGGCACAUCUGCUAAUUCAGAAGGUCAGGAAAGCAAAACAGGAACAUCCAUCUCUUCUGAUCUGAGCGGUAAUGACAGGGCCAGAACAAAAACAUAAACAAAUAAUCAUCUAAAGUGGAGAAGGCCGGACAAAUAAAAACAUAUUUGUGUCACGAUGUACA